GACGAACGCUGGCGGCGUGCUUAACACAUGCAAGUCGAACGAAGUGGCGAACGGGUGAGUAACGCGUAAUCAACCUGCCCUUCCGAGGGGGACAACAGUUGGAAACGACUGCUCAUACCGCAUACUGAAGGAGGGGAUUGCGUCUGAUUAGCUAGUUGGAGGGGUAACGGCCCACCAAGGCGAUGAUCAGUAGCCGGGCUGAGAGGAUGGACGGCCACAAUGGGACUGAGACACGGCCCAGGCUCCUACGGGGGGCAGCAGUGGGGAAGCUUCCGCAAUGGACGAAAGUCUGACGGAGCAACGCCGCCGGAGUGAUGACGGCCUUCGGGUUGUAAAGCUCUGUUAAUCGGGACGCGGUACCGGAAUAGAAAGCCACGGCUAACUACGUGCCAGCAGCCGCGGUAAUUC
rnacentral:rRNA from 1 species